AUCCAGCCGACGAGUCGCAAAUAAAACGAAAUCCGCGUCUUAAAU
rfam:Schistosoma mattheei strain Denwood, Zambia genome assembly, scaffold: SMTD_scaffold0013115